UGUGCAGCAGUGGUUAGGGAAGGGGUCCAUCCAUGGCUCUGACACUCGGUGUGACCCUGAGCCGGUAACUGAGGCCCGUUUGCCAUAAGUAGGGUUGGGGUCCCAUGGCUACAGCCCAGGAGGGUUGGGAGGCUCCAGGAAGGUGUGUAAAGUGCUGGGACAUCAGGAUCCUGCAGCCGCUGUCACUGCUGCACUAGGGCAGUGUUCUGCACCCCGCUGCUGCUGCCUGACUUUCUCCGUGCACUGGCAAUAAGACAGACUCUUGUUUUCACAGCCAGUAGAUUGCCAUAGUGUCAUCACUCUGCCUGCUGGCUGGGCAGGGUAACUCCUCAGGUCACCACCUCUCCAGCCUGCCUUGGGCUUGGAGAGUGAGGAGGAGGGUGAGGGACAUCUGCUGACCCUGAACAUCCGCCAUCCAUCAUACCAUCACCUAAAGCAAGAUGAGACUUCCUGGAUAUUGCAGCAGCAGCAGGGAUUAGGAGGGGGAACAUUGGGAGCAGCUCAUGCAAUGAACUCCUGCCAGUGUGUGUAGCUUGCACUCCCUGCACUCCUGUGGGGGGAGAAGGGGCUGCUCUGGCUGGAGCAGGGCUGAGGAGGGACUGAAAAGGCCCAGGAGUGAAAGGCUGCCUUGAGCCCAGCCUCACACCUGCUCCCCGCUCGGUUCCAGGAUGGCCAGGCUCCUGAGGAUGUUCAGGAAGAAGGCUCUGCAGGUGGCCCCAGAGCUUGAGGGAAGCAGCUGCCAUCUUCCCAAGGGGCAGAGCCACCUCUCCAUCCCCGCUGGCGGGGAAGCAGCUCCCAUCCAGGCCAGAAGGCGGAAGUGCCCAGCCUUCUGGCGAACAAACCAGCUCCCGGCGCAGGCACCGAGCUGGGAGAGGCCUUGACCAAGGCCAGAUGGAGCUGGUUCAGGAUGUGGUUUUGCAGACAGGACCCAGCCCAGGAGGGGCGUCAGGCAGGGAGGCUCUGGGGCUUGUUGUGUGGGCAGCAGCAGCCCCAGGAGCCCAGACUCAUUCCCAGCAGGAGGCAUCGCCCUGCCUGGUCACUGAGGACCUUCCAGCCCCCUCAGGCCAGGAGGUGGAAGAUGCCUGUCCCAACACCAGCAGCUCAGCAUGGGACAGCAGCAGCGCCUGGGACUCUGGCAGCAGUGAUGCAGAUGGACGCUGCUGCUUUGUUCCAGAGACCCCCAGGGAUUCAGAGGAGGAGGAAUGGCUGGACAUGUCCACAGAUGAAGCUGCUCUCAAGGUCAUCAGAGAGCAGCUCCAGUCCAGAGAAAAGGAGCUCAUUGAGGAGCUUCCUAAAGACUCUCCACCCAGCGCCAUCCUCACCAACUCCCUGGUUGCAGUGGGCAACCUCAGGUACUGAGACAGCCCCCCCACCCCCACUGGCUCCCCUAACCCCAGUGCUGCUCAGGCCCAAGGCUGGGAGUCACUGUCCCUCUCACUCCCAGGUCACCUCCCAGGAGUGGCUCCUCUGGCAGAGCUGGUGGGGUGGGAAGGUUCACUCUCUCCUGGCUGGGCUGUUCUUUUCACUCCACUAACAUUCCAGGGGCCUUGGGGAGGGGCUCACUCCCGGGCUCAGAUACAGGACGGGCAGCAGGCUCCAGGGAACAGGCGCUAUUCCUGUCCUGCCACUGUCUGUCUGUGAUGCCUUGGCCUUGUCAUUCCCUAGCUCAGUGCCUCAGUUUCCAUUCUCGCCAGCCUGUGCCUACAUCCCUGUGGUUUCGUGUCUGUGUUGGCGACAGUCCCACCCCCAUACUGCACAGUCUAAUACCAGCUCCUCUCUCUUGCCAGCACCAUGAAACCAGCCCUUGAGCCUGACCUAGAGACCUGCCUCUUGUGAGCUGCCCUUCGCUCCGUCUUCACCCUGGGCAUGGAGAAGGACACCAUCAACAUCCAGCAUGUCAACCUCUGGAUCGUGUCCAGGGUGUCCCAGGAGAGAGCCAGGGCCAUUAGGAGCAGCACGGCCCUCCUCAGAUUUGCAGUCACCCUCCCUGAGUUUGACAUCUCAGCAGAGUUCCCUAGGAUGGGUCACCACGUGGUACAGCUGGCUCUGUUUGUCAGUGACCCAGACAAGGACAUCAGCCGGCAGGCCAGGGAGGGGACUUACCGGCUCUACCAGCUGCUGCUCCAAUAGAGGGGGCUGACCAUACAUGAGGCAGAAGAUCUGUGGUGCCACGACUGGCACCAGGACAGCAGGCUCCUGGGCUAUAAGAACACAGCCAGGGUGGGGGAGGUAAGGACACUGUGGCAGGGCAUGACCCAGCUCAGGGAGUGGGGCUGGCUGGGGUCCCUGCAGUCGAUGCCUCCUGGAGACAGGAGAAGAGCCCACUCCUUAUUUCCAGCUCAGAGUUCCUCAUCCAGCACCCAGUGGGACCGGCUGGUGCUAAAGGUCCCACACUGGAACCUCGCUAGUUGCCGUGAUUUGAGUGUCUUACAUGGAGCCAUUACUAUGUGGCAUAAGGAGAAUCCCCAGGUUUUUGGAAAAUUCUUCUCUGAGGGGCAGAGAAAAUACUUCCUCCAGACAGCAAUGCUGGCGAUACAUGACCCCCUCCUGUGUGUCAGCCAGGCUGGGCUGCUCCUCACAUACUCCAUCCUGGGGGAAGCCCAGCAGCUGAUGGGGGACAAGGUGAGCAGCUGCAUUAGACUCAGGAGCUUGGGGCAGGGCCCAGGCCUCCAUCUCAUCCUAUCACCAUUGGCUGGCCUGGAAGCAAGGAGCCUAGUGGGGACUUGUGGACUUCAUGGACUUGUGUUCUUAGGAUGUGAUGCUCUGCUAUCACUCCUGGGAAGGGCAGGAGAGUCCCCUAAGUGCCCUCUGUGAACCUCUCCUGCCCCACAGAGCU